CACACUGGCCAAGCGCGGAGUUCUGCUUACUUCAGUCCUGCUGAGAUACUCUCUCAGUCCGCUCGCACCGAAGGAAGCUGCCUUGGGAUCAGAGCAGACAUAAAGCUAGAAAAAUUUCAAGGUGGAAGAAAGAAAUGGGAAGAAAAAGGAAGAGAACCAUAGCUACGUUGUGAGGGCAUUGCUUCAACUCUGGUAACUUCAUGUGAAAUGACUACAAAAUGAAUUAAUAUGCAGUAAGAGAGCCAGUGCCCCACCAGGGCACCUUUCCACUUGCUGGCACACAGAUUUACCACAAUUAGGAUACUGCUUGUCCUGUCAUGCCGGGAGAGUCUAAAUUACUCUGACUUUCAAGAAACCAAAAAUAUGCAUUUUUGAUGUUAGGAAGAUUUACUGUGCAUUGGGCUGUGUCAUUUGAUGAGGAAAAAACCAAAUGAUCUCUUUAUGAAAAUGAAGGUAAAAUAUAUGUAAAUGCCAUUUUAAUCUAACUUUUUAUAUGAAUGUAGAACAAAUAUCAAACAGGAUUAUACAGUGUGAUAGUCAGGAAAGUAGCAUGCUUUUGUGUUUUAUAGACUAGUCUAAAAGGAGCCCCAGUAGACUUGGUAUUGUUAAACCAAGGAGAUCUUGAGAACUGUUCUGUCUCCCUUGUGCCCAUAGAAUUGUAGCCUGUGGAGGUGACCAAGGAACCAGAUCCCAAGAGGCCUCUGCCACUGAAAGGAGAUUUUUAUUACUUGCGUUUCCUAGACGGGGGGGCACUCGCGCCAAGCAGGCCCACGGGGCACACUGGUGUCAGUCAAGGGGCAGAAAGGAGCCACAGGAAAGCCCAGGACAGAGCCUGAGUGGGGUUUCUGUGGGAAAGGCAGGGCAGGGCACCCGUGUAGGAAUGGCUAGUGUGAACAGUUCCAGUGGGCCCUGGGCUGUAGGAGAGAUCACUAGCUGCCUGCUACCAGGCCCUGGGGUGAUUUCGGGCAGGCGGGCAGUUAGAUAAGGGAGGUGGGUAGAGCCGACCACCUGCCUGGAACCCUGUGCUGGCUAUAAGCCCUGGGAGGGCCAGUCUCUCCCUGUGUCUGUAAGGCCCACAAAUGCCAAAGCAUUAGGAAUAAGAAAAUGGACGUAAUAGAAUUGAUCCUGUGAGGACUGGAUGCCUAACUGCCACAUACAGAAUGUGAGAAAGCACAGAACAACUGCCUUCAUUGACAAGAUGGUGCCCAGAGCUCAAGACAGGCACACAGCAGGAGGAUGCCGGCAGGAUCCCUCAACAAGCUUACCGUGGUAUCUUUCACAAUGUUAACUGUCAUCCCAGAUGAACUUUUAAUGACAGUGUAUCUCUGAAGAUUGUGCUUUUAGCGUAUUUUCACUUAAAGUCAUAUCUCAUUUAGUAGACCUGCCAGAUUCCUGAAAAGUUACACACAAGCCAGCUGACAUGACCUUUGCCAGUCAUGUUGACCACGUUCUCACCGAGCUGUGGACUCCUCACUAGGAGCCUUUACCUACGGCCAGAUGGCUGUUGUCACUGCCUGUGGUGGGGUUACGGUUUCGGACUCACCUGAUCCGUUCUGCCGGGAUUACCUACGGCCAGAUGGCUGUUGUCACUGCCUGUGGUGGGGUUAUGGUUUCGGACUUACCUGAUCCGUUCUGCCGGGAUUACCUACGGCCAGAUGGCUGUUGUCACUGCCUGUGGUGGGGUUAUGGUUUCGGACGCACCUGAUCCGUUCUGCCGGGAUUUUAAAGUAUGGGAGUUUAGGCAUACUUUGCAAGUUGUUUCUUGAAUAUACUUUUCUGAAUUAUGGCUUGCUAUACAAGUUUUGGUCUUUUAAGGUAAGAGUUACAAUGGAGAUGGGGAAAUUAUACUUUUCUCAUUUCAAGGAAAGCAACAGUCAUGAGUUAUGCAUCAGUUGGGAAACGGGAUGAUAGGAAGUUGCAAGGCAACCUGGUUUCAGCCGGACCGGGACUCUCCCGGGGCUGCGUCCUGCUAGAGCUGGCAGGACACAGAAUACCACUAGCAGCCUCCCUGGGAGUGGCUUGGCGUCUUGGCCACCUCUUUCCACGGAUGUGGUGGAUGUGGGGGUAAACUAGAGAGACUAAAGCCCACUAUUGGGCUCAGCUUCCUGUAGAAAUCAAAUCAGAUGAAAACCCUGACCCAGAGGGAGAAGGCAGAGAGUUGGACUUUUGAAAACGUGAGUGUGUCCAGCAACCAGGCAGCAACAGUCCUUGUUUUUAUCGAACUUCUAUAAGCACUUUAUUUCUCCAGAAUAAUUUCAUCAUAAAGAAUCCAGAGCUCAGACAGCUCUUUACCAUCUGUCUUUUCCUUUUUUCUUACCCUGUGUUUGGCUUGAUCUGGACUGCACUUAACCAUGACAAUGUUAAGUGCUUUCUUCUGGGUAAAAAUUCUGGCUUCUUCUCCAGAAAUUCUGGCUCCACUUCUCAAAUUGUUUCUGUCCCUGUUAGGAGACCCCUGGGGCCUCGGCUGGAGAGACAGUGCAGCUAGUCCCAGCAGCCACUGUGCUUGGGCCUGGCCAGCCCCUCCUCAGGGGUCACGGCACUGCUCACCUGGUGACUAGGUCUUCUCAGCCAGAUCAGUUCAUGUGCUCUGGUGUUUUUGAGCUUCUGGCUAGUCCUCAGUUUCUCAGACCUGGUUAAUCACAGUGUGGAGUCAUUUUUCAUAACUGUGCACCUCACUUGUUUGAUGCAUGGCAAGGGAAUAAUUAAAUUAAUAAACCUACAGAUAUUCCCCCUUACAGUUUUCAAAUACAGUAAGUGAAUUUCUACUAUAAAAUAGGUCCAAAGAGGUUUUAUUGUUUCUUAUUUGAAAUAAUUAAAGAACAUUUAUGUUUCCCUUUUGUGGUUUCUUGGUUCUAAUCCUGUGGGUUGCUUUUGACGUCCUCUGUUGGGGAUACACUGUGCAUCCGUAUUUAACAGGAGAUCCCGAACUCCCAGCAGGGAGCUAAGCACAGAUGUGUGCACAGAU
rnacentral:lncRNA from 1 species